UGGAUGGAUGGAUGGAUGGAUGGAUGGAUGGAUGGAUGGAUGGAUGGCGUUUGUUUUUGAGAAGAAGAUGACCUGGCUGACCACUUGCCACUUUUCUCACUGGAUGCGAUGUGACCAGUUGCCUGGGUUUUCUGUCACCAAGACUUCCCUGCUGUGAUGGAUUCUACCCUCACACUGUGACCCCAAAUAACCCCUGCCUCUUUCCGCUGCUUUCACUGGGUGCUCCAUUGUCCUGACAUAAUCACCAGGGAGCCACCCGGCCAUUCUUUUCUUUUUCAUUUUCCAGUCUCUCCCUUCCCUCUCCUCCCUCCAAACCAGCCCUCUACUACUCCUUGUUCUCUUUCAAAUCAUGGCCUCUUUUGAUUGUUCUUGAAUGAGUAUCAAGUAUAUUCCUAAGUAUAACCUGCUCUGUCUGUACAGUGCUGCUUGUAUGCGUGUUUUCAAGGGGGCCAUUUGGUAUUGGAUAACGGAUUGUGUCCUUCUCUGGAGAAGACCAUGUCUUUUGCCCUCAGCCUUCCGUAGUUGCCUGCUGUUCUUUGUGUGGGGCUGAGGCCUCCUGGUCUUUCCCCACCCACUUUGGCACGUCUGUUGGUGUCGCCUUUGAUCAGCUCAUGCCUGGGAAGUCAUGUUUGUGAAAUUUAUGAGUAUACUUCCUGACAUCCCUAGGAGACAUGAUCUUAUAACACAUCCCCUGCUCUUCACUCCCUCUUCUGCAAUGUUUCCUAAGACUGAAAUGUGGGAGUGUUUUCUAGAUGUAUCCAUCGACACCGGAUGUAGGACCUGGGCCAGCUAUGGAAGGUUGCCUGAAGGCCACACCACUUCUGAAAAGCUGCUUGGGAAGCAAACACACCGCUCAGCUGCUUCAAACUAAGAAAACCGAGCAUUUUCCAGCUCAACAGGUAGAGACAAAAAGCCACCAGCCUUCAGGUCAAGAGGAGUCUGAAGAGGAAACAAGGUGAACAACCCCAAGGCCAAGGAGAUGGAGUACAAGUCAUGAGCUGUUUUGUUUCUUCAAACAGCUGUCUGUCUUAGGUUACCAGACUGUGAAGAAACCCAGAGAUCAAAGCAGCUUAGGGAGGAAUUGGGUUUAUUUUGCUUAGGUAUCCUGAAUCACAAUCCAUGAUGGGACACCAAAGCAAGACCUGAAACUGGGCAGGCACCAAGAGGCAAAAGGUGAUGCUGAGACCGGGGAGGAGUGCGAACUUACUGAUUUGCUCCUCAUGGUUUGUUCAGCUUGCUUUCUUAUAGUACCCAGAACUACCAGCGCAGCACCACACACAAUGGGCUGGGCCCUCCCACCCAUAUCAAUCACUAAUUAAGAAAGUGCCCUACAGCUCUGCCUACAGCCUGAUCUUAUGGAGGCAUUUUCUUAAUGAAGGUCCCUCCUUUCAGACGACUCUAGCUUGUGUCAAGUUGACAUAAGAAGAGGGAGGAUGGGGGUUGGGGAUUUAACUCAGUGGUAGAGCGCUUACCUAGCAAGCGCAAGGCCCUGGGUUCGGUCCCCAGCUCCGGAAAAAAAAAAAGAGAGAAAAAAAAAGAAGAAGAGGGAGGAUGCCCUUUAUAUGACCACAGUCCCUCCUCUGAAAAAAAAAAUGAAGCACUCCUUUGGGACUGGGACUAAGUCUUUCUCAAACUUCUCUGGGCUUUCACUGGCCAGGGGAUGCUUGAGAAUCAAACUGAAGCAUGCUACCCUCCAUGUUCCUCAGCGUGGAUAUCUGGUCUUCAUUCUGCAUCUGCCCUGAGGCUGACAGAAGCAACUUGGUAAAAAGGAAGGACUGUGUCUUUGGCAGUUAAUGGAGAAGCAGGAACAACUGUCCACAAACAAGGCUGGGAGAAGGGACCUGUUUUUAGCCCAGAUGUCAGCCUGACAUUUGCUAAUACGUCAACCAAAAGAGGCAAGAACAAGACCCACGGCCUUGCCUUCACAACUCAAUCCUAGCCAUAGCUGUCUGACUGACUUGGGCCUCUCACCACUACUGACAUAUUACCCAGACCCAUGGUCAAGGACAACAUGGUGGGGAGGGGGCUCUAAAUGGAUGGAAGACCUAAAUCUGAAACCCAAGACAUUGAAACUUCAGUGACAGACAAUCCCUAAAUGAUAGCAGUGUGAGAAAAGACUGUCUAAAGAGUAUUCUAACUGCCCAGGGAUCCAGGCCAGAAACUGACAGAUGGAGAAAUUGACAGAGGCCUGCCCCAUAGUGAGGGCACUUGGAGAACAAAAAGAAAACUCAGAACUCCUUAAAGGGGGGCCAGCCCACAUAGGACACCAGGUCCACAGCAUCUCCUUCCUUCCACGGUCCUGAGGACCGCCUGCUACUGAGGGCACUUGGAGAAGGGGAAGUUCCCCACAGAGGGGACAGGCGGCCUGCUCCCCACCCUCUAUCUAGCACCUUCUCCUGCUUAGACCUUGGGGUUUUCCAGAGAAGAGAGAAAUCAGAGAGAAGAAAAGUAUCCAGGGCUUACCAGAGAGGGAGGCAGGCAGGAGAGAGGCCCAGAGCAUUAAGGUCUGCUCUGCACUAAAGGUACUCGGAGAAAAGGAAGAAACAAGCUCCAGGAUCCCAGGUUAGGUGGCCUAUCCUCCAGCAUUCUCUAUCAUCCUUUCUGCCCAGAGCACAACUCUGACAGCACCUACCUAGGAUACUGGGUCACACAGAGCCUCUUUAAAAACAAGAACAGAAGCUCUCUAGCUCCAUGGAUCUGUGGUUAGGUGGAUGGAAACGCUGAGGCCCUGACAUCCUCUCAAGCCACAACCUUUAGACCUGCCUGUAACAGAGGGUACUUGGAAAAAUGUGGGGAAAAGCUUCAAGGCUUUCCAGAGGGGGCCCAGUCUCUCUAGGAUGCCCCAGUUUCUAGCAUCCUCUUUUUAGAGAACAGGGUGGGUGGUAAUGGGGGAUCAGGAGUGUGUGUGUGUGUGUGUGUGUGUGUGUGUGUGUGUGUGUGUGUGUGUUUAUUUCUUUAAAGGGUUUUCCCACAUUUAAAAGCACAUGAAUCCCAGGUAUAGUGACUCCAGCCUUUAUCCCAGCACUGGGGAGGCAGAAGCAGAGGCAAAUGCAUCUUGUGACCUCAAGGCCCUUGAGACUUGGUGAGACUCUGUCUUAAAAAUAAAUAAAUAAAUAAAAACUAAAUUAAAUUUAAUGCA